AUGCACGCUGGCGGCGUGCUUAACACAUGCAAGUCGAACGAAACACCUUAUUUGAUUUUCUUCGGAACUGAAGAUUUGGUGAUUGAGUGGCGGACGGGUGAGUAACGCGUGGGUAACCUGCCCUGUACAGGGGGAUAACAGUCAGAAAUGACUGCUAAUACCGCAUAAGACCACAGCACCGCAUGGUGCAGGGGUAAAAACUCCGGUGGUACAGGAUGGACCCGCGUCUGAUUAGCUGGUUGGUGAGGUAACGGCUCACCAAGGCGACGAUCAGUAGCCGGCUUGAGAGAGUGAACGGCCACAUUGGGACUGAGACACGGCCCAAACUCCUACGGGAGGCAGCAGUGGGGAAUAUUGCACAAUGGGGGAAACCCUGAUGCAGCGACGCCGCGUGAGUGAAGAAGUAUUUCGGUAUGUAAAGCUCCAUCAGCAGGGAAGAAAAUGACGGUACCUGACUAAGAAGCCCCGGCUAACUACGUG
rnacentral:rRNA from 1 species